GUACGCACUGGCCCAACUGAUUGAUGGUGCUUGCACCUGAUUGACGAUGGAUCACCAGUGAGUGGCGGACGGGUGAGUAACACGUAGGUAACCUGCCCCGGAGCGGGGGAUAACAUUUGGAAACAGAUGCUAAUACCGCAUAACAACAAAAGCCACAUGGCUUUUGUUUGAAAGAUGGCUUUGGCUAUCACUCUGGGAUGGACCUGCGGUGCAUUAGCUAGUUGGUAAGGUAACGGCUUACCAAGGCGAUGAUGCAUAGCCGAGUUGAGAGACUGAUCGGCCACAAUGGAACUGAGACACGGUCCAUACUCCUACGGGAGGCAGCAGUAGGGAAUCUUCCACAAUGGGCGCAAGCCUGAUGGAGCAACACCGCGUGAGUGAAGAAGGGUUUCGGCUCGUAAAGCUCUGUUGUUGGAGAAGAACGUGCGUGAGAGUAACUGUUCACGCAGUGACGGUAUCCAACCAGAAAGUCACGGCUAACUACGUGCCAGCAGCCGCGGUAAUACGUAGGUGGCAAGCGUUAUCCGGAUUUAUUGGGCGUAAAGCGAGCGCAGGCGGUUGCUUAGGUCUGAUGUGAAAGCCUUCGGCUUAACCGAAGAAGUGCAUCGGAAACCGGGCGACUUGAGUGCAGAAGAGGACAGUGGAACUCCAUGUGUAGCGGUGGAAUGCGUAGAUAUAUGGAAGAACACCAGUGGCGAAGGCGGCUGUCUGGUCUGCAACUGACGCUGAGGCUCGAAAGCAUGGGUAGCGAACAGGAUUAGAUACCCUGGUAGUCCAUGCCGUAAACGAUGAGUGCUAGGUGUUGGAGGGUUUCCGCCCUUCAGUGCCGGAGCUAACGCAUUAAGCACUCCGCCUGGGGAGUACGACCGCAAGGUUGAAACUCAAAGGAAUUGACGGGGGCCCGCACAAGCGGUGGAGCAUGUGGUUUAAUUCGAAGCUACGCGAAGAACCUUACCAGGUCUUGACAUCUUGCGCUAACCUUAGAGAUAAGGCGUUCCCUUCGGGGACGCAAUGACAGGUGGUGCAUGGUCGUCGUCAGCUCGUGUCGUGAGAUGUUGGGUUAAGUCCCGCAACGAGCGCAACCCUUGUUACUAGUUGCCAGCAUUAAGUUGGGCACUCUAGUGAGACUGCCGGUGACAAACCGGAGGAAGGUGGGGACGACGUCAGAUCAUCAUGCCCCUUAUGACCUGGGCUACACACGUGCUACAAUGGACGGUACAACGAGUCGCAAGCUCGCGAGAGUAAGCUAAUCUCUUAAAGCCGUUCUCAGUUCGGACUGUAGGCUGCAACUCGCCUACACGAAGUCGGAAUCGCUAGUAAUCGCGGAUCAGCAUGCCGCGGUGAAUACGUUCCCGGGCCUUGUACACACCGCCCGUCACACCAUGGGAGUUUGUAACGCCCAAAGUCGGUGGCCUAACC
rnacentral:rRNA from 1 species